rnacentral:piRNA from 1 species
UAUGGGGAAGUGGAAUUUUUACACG